rnacentral:rRNA from 1 species
AGAGUUUGAUCCUGGCUCAGAUUGAACGCUGGCGGCAUGCCUUACACAUGCAAGUCGAACGCGAAAGCGGGGGCAACCCUGCAAGUAGAGUGGCGAACGGGUGAGUAAUGCAUCGGAACGUGUCCAGUAGCGGGGGAUAACCUCUCGAAAGAGAGGCUAAUACCGCAUACGACCUACGGGUGAAAGAGGGGGAUCGCAAGACCUCUCACUAUUGGAGCGGCCGAUGUCGGAUUAGCUAGUUGGUGAGGUAAAGGCUUACCAAGGCGACGAUCCGUAGCUGGUCUGAGAGGACGACCAGCCACACUGGAACUGAGACACGGUCCAGACUCCUACGGGAGGCAGCAGUGGGGAAUUUUGGACAAUGGGGGCAACCCUGAUCCAGCCAUGCCGCGUGGGUGAAGAAGGCCUUCGGGUUGUAAAGCCCUUUCGGUGGGGACGAAACGGUGCGUGCUAACACCACGCACUACUGACGGUACCCACAGAAGAAGCACCGGCUAACUACGUGCCAGCAGCCGCGGUAAUACGUAGGGUGCAGGCGUUAAUCGGAAUUACUGGGCGUAAAGCGUGCGCAGGCGGUUUGCUAAGACAGGUGUGAAAUCCCCGAGCUUAACUUGGGAACUGCGCUUGUAACUGGCAAGCUAGAGUGUGGCAGAGGGGGGUGGAAUUCCACGUGUAGCAGUGAAAUGCGUAGAGAUGUGGAGGAACACCGAUGGCGAAAGCAGCCCCCUGGGCUAACACUGACGCUCAUGCAC